AAAUUGACUCGCGAACAAAGCUUCGGUUAUAAAAUUUGAUUAUCUUUUCGAACAAACUCCAAGAAAAACAUAAUAAAAAACAAAAUCGUUUAUAAAAUACCAGAAAAUUUUAGUUGGGAGAAAACAUCUGCAUAUAAUAAGAGAGUGAUUAUAGGAAUGUCAAGUAGUAUUGAAAAAUAACAAAAAUAAUGUGUCGUAUUGAAUAAGUUAUUUACUACCACAGACCUGGUCUGUGUUUACUACCUUAUGGAACUAACCUCAAAUGAUAUAUGUAUAAUAAGGACAAUAAAAACCAAAUUUAAGAAUAUUUAGAUAUGACAGUAUAAUUUAAAAAAAAAAAACAAUAAUUUUUUGUUCAUACGGUGAUACUAACUUUCAUCAAGCAGCGUAUUUUAAGAAUCCACAAUUGAGUUGGAUAAAUACUUCAUUAAAAUGACCAUAGAGUUCUGAUGACCUACAGUUGACUAUCAUAACAUCCACCCACAUAUUCAAGAGCUUUUAGAAGAUUAUUAAUGGAGUAUGCAAGCAAGAAACGUCAAGAUCUAGUCUAAGAAACAAGCAAUAGAAAACAGAGGACAAGAGGGAUUUAUGAGACCAAGGGUAAGAAAGAAGCAAGAGAAUUGCAAAUAAACAUUAAGACCCAGGCUAAUAAACAAUCAAGAGAAAUCCAAAAGUUAUAGUAAACUGGGGAAAAGGAUAACAAAGAGCAAAAGAAAAACUAGGGACAAGAAGGAUAUAUCAAGAUCCAGUCUAAGUAAGAGCAAAAUAAAUGCAAAAAUAAGAGAAAACAGAGGACAAUAAAAGAAAACUGAUUAGAAGUAGGAAACACAAGAUCUACUCCAAGAAAGAAGCAAGAGGUAUCCAAAAAAGAGAAAACAAGGAUAUAUUAAACACAAGCUAAAAAAGAAUUGCAAAUAAAAGAAAAUUGAUGAGAAGCGGGAAACAUUAAGAUUUAAGGUUAAGAAACAAGCAAGAGAAUUGCAAAUUAAAUAAAGCUUAUGAGAAGCAAGAAACAUCAAAACACAGGUUAAGAAACAAGAGAAAUCCAAAAGUAAAGGCAAACUGAGGAUGGAAGACACAUUGAGACUCCCGGUACAAAAGAAGUGAGAUAUUUCCACAAGUAAUAGGAAAUUGAGGACGAGGGAAAACAGGACAUAAAUAAUAACAUGGUUAUUGAAAAUUAUGGAACUGUUUUUCGUAAUAAAUUUUUUAUUAAGUAAA